GUGGCUCACCAGUGGUUGUCUCUAAGGAAUCGCAAAGGUAAACUACCCACACCGCAUGCCACAUAAUAUUUCAACCAUUCAGAGGAGACUGUUUUCUCUUUAUUUGCUUAUAUGUUAAUAUGGUUUUUAAAUUGGUAACUUUUAUAUAGUAUGGUAACAGUAUGUUAAUACACACAUACAUAUGCACACAUGCUUUGAGUCCUUCCAUAAUACUUUUAUAUUUGUAAAUCAAUGUUUUGGAGCAAUCCCAAGUUUAAGGGAAAUAUUUUUGUAAAUGUAAUGGUUUUGAAAAUCUGAGCAAUCCUUUCGCUUAUACAUUUUUAAAGCAUUUGUGCUUUAAAAUUGUUAUGCUGGUGUUUGAAACAUGAUACUCCUGUAGUGCAGAUGAGAAGCUAUCACAGUGAAUAUGCGGUUUACCUAAAGCUUGUUGCCUUUUUUUGUGCUGUUUAUCCGUGUAGAGCACUCAAGAAAGUUCUGAAACUGCUUUGUAUCUGCUUUGUACUGUUGGUGCCUUCUUGGUAUUGCACCCCAAAAUUCUGCAUAGACUAUUUAGCAUAAUGGUAAGUUAAAAAAUGUUAAAGGAAGAUUUUAUUAAGAAUCUGAAUGUUUAUUCAUUAUAUUGUUACAAUUUAACAUUAACAUUUAUUUGUGGUAUUUGUGAUUUGGUUAAUCUGUAUAAAAAUUGUAAGUAGAAAGGUUUAUAUUUCAUCUUAAUUCUUUUGAUGUUGUAAACGUACUUUUUAAAAGAUGGAUUAUUUGAAUGUUUAUGGCACCUGACUUGUAAAAAAAAAAAACUACAAAAAAAUCCUUAGAAUCAUUAAAUUGUGUCCCUGUAUUACCAAAAUAACACAGCACCGUGCAUGUAUAGUUUAAUUGCAGUUUCAUUCGUGAAAGCGUGAAAUUGUCUAGUCCUUCAUUACGUUCCCCAGAUGUCUUCCAGAUUUGCUCUGCGUGUGGUAACUUGUGUUAGGGCUGUGAGCUGCUCCUUGAGUUGAAUGGGGAUGUCAGUGCUCCCUAGGGUUCUCCAGGUGGUUCUGCAGACCUUUGCCUAUGGGGGGAGGUAGGCGGAGCCUACACCCAUCUCCUCAUUCUCCUGAACUUCAGCAGCCCCACUGCUGGGCAGAUGUCCUGGGCAACCCCUUAUUUCAGAGCAAGAAGUCAUAAAGAUAGGGGUUCUUGGACAUUUGGUUCUUACCAAUAUUGGGCAUUAUGCAAUGACUUAUUUACAAAACAAAGAUACUGGAAAAUGUUUUGGAUGUGGUGUUGUGGAAAGAGCACAGGCCUGGGACUCAUCCAGCUGGGUUCAGAACUAUCCCCUGCUUAGAACUGCAGCUGGCUGUGGGCCAGUCAUUCUGCGUCUCUGCUUGCUUUCUCUGCUUCAAACUGUCAGCUGUAAAGUGGAAGCAGUAUUACUUGCCUUGUAUAUGGUAAAGAUUAUAAAAAUACAUUUCAACUGUUGAGCAUAGUACUUCAAAGCAAGUACUCGGUAAAUAGCAAGUCUUUUUAAAUGCUGCUGUAUUUCAUUAAAUUUUGUUGUAAGGUCUCACCAAAA
ensembl:lncRNA